rnacentral:lncRNA from 10 species
UGGAUGCAAUUGUUUAGGAGAAGAGUGAAGGAGAAGAGAAGAGAGCCCGAAACUAAACAGGGAGGAAUCCACCAUUUAGAAGUCUGGCAGGCAAAGAGGACAAGGCUUUGUGUUUCACCUCAGGAAACAGAGCGUUGCACUGGGAGGUAACUCCGCUGGGUGAGGUGCAGCCUGUCACCUGACCGGUCUCUGGGGCUGCCGGUGGCAUCAGGCUGCAUUCCUUGAAUUCUUCCACCCGGCACCGGCUCCGCAAUGAACAACUUCAGGUUCACUGAGCUGAGCGGAUUCCACUCGCUGUGCCCUCGGAGCCUGCCUGAAUCUCCCGCCCAGUCUCAAACCAUGCAGCUGAGUAACUGCAAGGGCGCCUUUGAGGAGUAGCACGCAGAGAGUGUCAAUGAAGACCUCAAAGUCUGGAGAAAAAUGACCUUUCAUGGAAUAAGAAGUAUACCUCCUUCUACAUGUUUUUGUCUUACUGACCUCUGAUAACUGGAACACAUGACUCUGGGUCUGUAGAAAGUCAACUGAUCAAACUCAUCCUCACCAUGCAUCAACUGUUCAGACUGGUUUUGGGACAAAAAGAUCUUUCACGAGCUGGGGACCUCUUCUCCUUAGAUGACUCUGAGAUUGAAGACAGCCUUACAGAAGCUUUGGAGCAAAUUAAGAUAAUUAGCUCAUCUUCAGAUUACCAAACCAAUAACAAUGACCAGGCAGUAGUUGAAAUCUGUAUCAC